AACUUUUAACAAUGGAUCACUUGGCUCUCGCAUCGAUGAAGAACGCAGCGAAAUGCGAUAAGUAAUGUGAAUUGCAGAAUUCAGUGCAUCAUCGAAUCUUUGAACGCACCUUGCGCCCCUUGGCUAUUCCGAGGGGCAUGCCUGUUUGAGUAUCAUGAACACCUCUACUCUCAUGGUUUGCUGUGAUGAGCUUGGACUCUGGGGGUUUUGCUGGCCUGUGGUGGCCGCCCCUCAAGUGACUCAGCCUCACAGUGUUUGGUGGCAGCUCGGGUGUGAUAAAUAUCUAUGCUCGCGGUUGUCUGCCAGGUAGCCUUUGGUGACAACGGUUUGCUGGAGCUCACAGAAGUCUCUCCUCAGCGAUUACAGCUUUUUGAACGUUCGAUCUCAAAUCAGGUAGGACUACCCGCUGAACAUAAGCGAAUCAAUAAGCGAAGGC
rnacentral:misc_RNA from 1 species